GACGAACGCUGGCGGCGUGCUUAACACAUGCAAGUCGAACGGAAAGGCCCUGCUUUUGUGGGGUGCUCGAGUGGCGAACGGGUGAGUAACACGUGAGUAACCUGCCCUUGACUUUGGGAUAACUUCAGGAAACUGGGGCUAAUACCGGAUAGGAGCUCCUGCUGCAUGGUGGGGGUUGGAAAGUUUCGGCGGUUGGGGAUGGACUCGCGGCUUAUCAGCUUGUUGGUGGGGUAGUGGCUUACCAAGGCUUUGACGGGUAGCCGGCCUGAGAGGGUGACCGGCCACAUUGGGACUGAGAUACGGCCCAGACUCCUACGGGAGGCAGCAGUGGGGAAUAUUGCACAAUGGGCGGAAGCCUGAUGCAGCAACGCCGCGUGCGGGAUGACGGCCUUCGGGUUGUAAACCGCUUUCGCCUGUGACGAGGCGUGAGUGAUGGUAAUGGGUAAAGAAGCACCGGCUAACUACGUG
rnacentral:rRNA from 1 species